rnacentral:rRNA from 1 species
ACGAACGCUGGCGGCGUGCUUAUCACAUGCAAGUCGAACGGAAAGGCCCUGCUUUUGUGGGGUGCUCGAGUGGCGAACGGGUGAGUAACACGUGAGUAACCUGCCCUUGACUUUGGGAUAACUUCAGGAAACUGGGGCUAAUACCGGAUAGGAGCUCCUGCUGCAUGGUGGGGGUUGGAAAGUUUCGGCGGUUGGGGAUGGACUCGCGGCUUAUCAGCUUGUUGGUGGGGUAGUGGCUUACCAAGGCUUUGACGGGUAGCCGGCCUGAGAGGGUGACCGGCCACAUUGGGACUGAGAUACGGACCAGACUCCUACGGGAGGCAGCAGUGGGGAAUAUUGCACAAUGGGCGGAAGCCUGAUGCAGCAACGCCGCGUGCGGGAUGACGGCCUUCGGGUUGUAAACCGCUUUCGCCUGUGACGAAGCGUGAGUGACGGUAAUGGGUAAAGAAGCACCGGCUAACUACGUG